GAGCGAACGCUGGCGGCGUGCUUAACACAUGCAAGUCGAACGUGAACGGGGGCAACCCCUAGUAAAGUGGCGUACGGGUGAGUAACACGUGGGUAAUCUACCUUAAAGUCUGGAAUAACCUGCCGAAAGGCGGGCUAAUACUGGAUAGAGCGACGGAAUCCGUAAUUGGGUUUUUCGGGAAAGGGAGCUUGAAAGAGCCCUCGCUUUAGGAUGAGCCUGCGUCCCAUUAGCUAGUUGGUAGGGUAACGGCCUACCAAGGCAAUGAUGGGUAGCUGGUCUGAGAGGAUGAUCAGCCACACUGGAACUGAAACACGGUCCAGACUCCUACGGGAGGCAGCAGUGGGGAAUCUUGCGCAAUGGACGAAAGUCUGACGCAGCCACGCCGCGUGAGUGAAGAAGGCCUUCGGGUUGUAAAGCUCUGUCACUCGGGACGAAAAACUAGUCGGUUAAUACCCGAUUGGACUGACGGUACCGAGGGAGGAAGCACCGGCUAACUCCGUGCCAGCAGCCGCGGUAAUACGGAGGGUGCAAGCGUUGCUCGGAAUUAUUGGGCGUAAAGGGUAGGUAGGUGGUCUCAUUUGUCUGGGGUGAAAGCCUUGGGCUUAACUCAAGAAGUGCCUCAGAAACGGUGAGACUAGAGUACUGGAGAGGGUCGUGGAAUUCCCGGUGUAGCGGUGAGAUGCGUAGAGAUCGGGAGGAACACCAGCGGCGAAGGCGGCGACCUGGACAGUCACUGACACUCAACUACGAAAGCGUGGGGAGCAAACAGGAUUAGAUACCCUGGUAGUCCACGCUGUAAACGAUGGGUACUAGGUUUGGUGGGUCUUGACCCCUGCCGAACCGGCGCUAACGCAAUAAGUACCCCGCCUGGGAAGUACGGUCGCAAGACUAAA
rnacentral:rRNA from 1 species